rnacentral:rRNA from 1 species
GAUGAACGCUAGCGGCAGGCCUAAUACAUGCAAGUCGAACGGUAACAGGUGUAGCAAUACAUGCUGACGAGUGGCGCACGGGUGCGUAACACGUAUGCAACUUUCCUUCAACUGGUGAAUAGCCCCUCGAAAGAGGGAUUAAUACACCAUAAUAUAAUGAGAUGGCAUCAUCUUAUUAUUAAAACUCCGGUGGUUGAAGAUGGGCAUGCGCAACAUUAGCUAGUUGGUGAGGUAAUGGCUCACCAAGGCUACGAUGUUUAGGGGUUCUAAGAGGAUUAACCCCCACACUGGUACUGAGACACGGACCAGACUCCUACGGGAGGCAGCAGUAAGGAAUAUUGGACAAUGGUGGCAACACUGAUCCAGCCAUGCCGCGUGCAGGAUGAAGGCCCUAUGGGUUGUAAACUGCUUUAUACGGGAAAAAACCUCUCUACGUGUAGAGAGCUGAUGGUACCGUAAGAAUAAGGAUCGGCUAACUCCGUGCCAGCAGCCG